rnacentral:rRNA from 1 species
GAUCCUGGCUCAGGAUGAACGCUAGCUACAGGCUUAACACAUGCAAGUCGAGGGGCAGCGGGAUUGAAGCUUGCUUCAAUUGCCGGCGACCGGCGCACGGGUGAGUAACGCGUAUCCAACCUUCCGUACACUCAGGGAUAGCCUUUCGAAAGAAAGAUUAAUACCUGAUGGUAUCUUAAGCACACAUGUAAUUAAGAUUAAAGAUUAUCGGUGUACGAUGGGAGUGCGUUCCAUUAGGUUAGG